rnacentral:rRNA from 1 species
GACAGAGGGGGCAAGCGUUGCUCGGAAUUACUGGGCGUAAAGGGCGCGUAGGCGGAAUGGCAAGUCGGUCGUGAAAUCCUUCGGCUCAACCGAAGAACGUCGAUCGAAACUGCCGUUCUUGAGGAUUGCAGAGGAGACUGGAAUUCCCGGUGUAGCGGUGAAAUGUGUAGAGAUCGGGAGGAACACCGGUGGCGAAGGCGGGUCUCUGGGCAAUUCCUGACGCUGAGGCGCGAAAGCGUGGGGAGCAAAC